rnacentral:snRNA from 1 species
AUCGCUUCUCGGCCUUUUGGCUAAGAUCAAGUGUAGUAUCUGUUCUUAUCAGUUUAAUAUCUGAUACGUCCUCUAUCCGAGGACACAAAAAAAAAAAAAAAAAAGACUGCUGGGAGAAAUAUCAACCUCA